rnacentral:rRNA from 1 species
GAUGAACGCUGGCGGCGUGCCUAAUACAUGCAAGUCGAACGCGAGAGGAGGGAGCUUGCUCCCUCUGAUCGAGUGGCGGACGGGUGAGUAACACGUAGGCAACCUGCCCAUCAGCCGGGGAUAACUGCGGGAAACCGUGGCUAAUACCGGAUAAUCCUCUCCACCGCGGGGUGGGGAGUUGAAAGACGGUUUCGGCUGUCGCUGAUGGAUGGGCCUGCGGCGCAUUAGCUGGUUGGCGGGGUAACGGCCCACCAAGGCAACGAUGCGUAGCCGACCGGAGAGGGGGAUCGGCCAAACGGGGACGGAGACACGGCCCAGACUCCUGCGGGAGUCAGCAGUAGGGAAUCUUCCGCAAUGGACGCAAGGCUGACGGAGCAACGCCGCGUGAGUGAAGAAGGGUUUCGGCUCGUAAAACUCUGUUGUUAAGGAAGAACGCCAGGUAGAGUAACUGCUACCUGUGUGACGGUACUUAACCAGAAAGCCACGGCUAACUACGUGCCAGCCGCCGCAGUAA